AACCCUGGAACAGCUGGAAAGCCAAGAAGGUUGCAGUUCAGAAAAGUGGGAGGCUUAGAGGGAAAAAAAGAAAAAGGCAUUGCAGAGAAGCUUCUUUUCCAGCAAAAGGCUUUUGAGGACCUGUCCAGAUAGCCAUGAAAGAAGAUGGGAUAUGAGUGGUGAAAUCUGCCUAGAACAGUGGUGAGUGAAGAAAUGUUCUUUUCCUUGGGGAAGGCAUAUUCUGUCUGGAAGUUCUUCUCAGGCUCCAGAUAGACAAUUAAGAACAGGAAGUGACUGCUGAAACUGGAGGAAUUUCCAAAAGCAGAACAUAAUUACUUGAAACUGAAUUAAACCAUAAUGUCCUUAUGAAGAACAACCGUUAAUAAUAAGUGGUCAGAAACAUUGGCUUAACAUAUCUGAAAGGUGGAACUUCCAGCCACGGAUUACUCAUUGCCACAAUGCUGUGGUCUUCAUUCAGAAUGAAAAGGGUUAUGGAACUACAUUCAGAAACUGUAGUAUUGUUUUAGUCCAAAUGUAGAUACUAAUAAAUCUUUGUCCUGAUUUGAAACUUUCA